UGGCGAACUCCUACGGGAGGCAGCAGUGAGGAAUAUUGGACAAUGGACCAAGAGUCUGAUCCAGCAAUUCUGUGUGCACGAUGACGUUUUUCGGAAUGUAAAGUGCUUUCAGUUGGGAAGAAAAAAAUGACGGUACCAACAGAAGAAGUGACGGCUAAAUACGUGCCAGCAGCCGCGGUAAUACGUAUGUCACAAGCGUUAUCCGGAUUUAUUGGGCGUAAAGCGCGUCUAGGUGGUUAUGUAAGUCUGAUGUGAAAAUGCAGAGCUCAACUCUGUAUUGCGUUGGAAACUGUGUAACUAGAGUACUGGGGAGGUAGGCGGAACUACAAGUGUAGAGGUGAAAUUCGUAGAUAUUUGUAGGAAUGCCGAUGGGGAAGCCAGCUUACUGGACAGAUACUGACGCUAAAGCGCGAAAGCGUGGGUAGCAAACAGGAUUAGAUACCCUUGUAGUCCGA
rnacentral:rRNA from 1 species